GUGUUGUUUGGAAGGAGAGAAGGUUAGCAUUCCCCUCGAUGAAGAUGGAAGAGGUCCUAGUGGACCUUCACAACACACAUACAGUUAGGAUAUUGCCAUCCUGGGUAGAAAAGCUAAAGUAAUGC
rnacentral:ncRNA from 1 species